UACAGAGGUCUCGAGCGUUGUUCGGAUUCAUUGGGCGUAAAGGGUGCGUAGGUGGCACCGUAAGUCGGGUGUGAAAUCCUGAGGCUUAACCUCGGAACUGCAUUCGAUACUGCGGUGCUUGAGGACUGGAGAGGAGACUGGAAUUCAUGGUGUAGCAGUGAAAUGCGUAGAGAUCAUGAGGAAGACCAGUGGCGAAGGCGGGUCUCUGGACAGUUCCUGACACUGAGGCACGAAGGCCAGGGGAGCAAACGGG
rnacentral:rRNA from 1 species